GUGUGCGCGCACGCACGUCAUUCCCGUGUUCGCGAGCAUGCGCCUGUGUGCUUAUGUGCACGUGUUGCGUCUGUGUGUGCGUCGUGUGCCCCACGGCGGUGGGUGAGGGGGUGUGUCUGCUGAGUACACCUUUGGACCCCUCCCUCCCAGGUGCCAUGGCCAGUGGUCAGCGCAGAGGCGCCUCCGAGAAGCAGGGUCGGGGCAAUCCCGCCGAGGACGGAGGAGGAGGGUGCAGGGGCGUGGUGCAGCUGGGAAAGUCCUGGAGGGAGAUUCCUAACCUCCUCACUGGCCAGAUGAGGAAUCUGAGGCCUUGAAAGGACACCUAGCAGGGAGAGUGUGGCAGAACGCAGCCUCUGAAUCAGGACCUGAGAACCUAAUUCCAGGCAAGAUGAGGCCGCCCUAUGGUGGAGAAAGUACUGCUCUAGUCCCAGCUAUGCUGCUCCCUCUCUGGGGACCUGGGCCACAGAAUGUCACCUGGCAGGGCCUUGGCCUCCCUAUCCAUGGAACGGGGAUCCUGGGCCCUGUCUGCUCUAUCCACUUCACGGGACUGUUGUAAGUCUCCAAAGGGACUGCGUGCUCGGAAGUGCUGAUCACGGGGAGGGUGUCGAGAUGCGGGCUCAGUGUCUAACCUUUCCUGGAGAAUACGUAUGCGUUGUCACAGGGGACCCUCAAGUCGCCUCAGCCCAGCGGAAUCAGUCACGGACUCAUGCCAGGCCUCGAUGGGAAACUUGCAUGCGGAGGAGGUGGGUUUCUGCUUCAUGUGGUACAGACCAAACCCCCCAGAGUGUGCGGGGACCGGGCUGGGACUGGCCUUGCAGCCUGCAGGCUGCAGCACACCAGGGCGUGGGCUGGGGACACAGCUGGCAGGACCCUGCUCUCCACGCGUGUCACUCCCUCCCUGAACUCAUCCAGUGCCACAGCUGGAGCAGCCCCUCGAGACAUGUUCCUGCUCCCAGCUUGGGUAGAUCCUGGCACUAAAGCCCCGAGGGAAAAGGCCUUCAAAGAGGGGGGGGGAAGGCUCACACAGAAACCUGGAGGCGGCAGGGGAUUGGAUCCAGGCUCCUGACUCCCAGGUCUCACAGCCUCGGGUACAAGCGUCCCUGGGAGAGGCCGCACUCGAAAGCAGUUUGUAAGCACCUCAUUGGGAUUACUGUGAGCCUGGGAGCAGCAACCACCAUGUUCUCAGCCCUCAAGACGAGGCCUCGGUUGGGCCUGUGGCCCCCAGCCUUCCCAGGGCCUCACCAGCAGCUCCUGAUCCGGCAGCUUGAAGGUCUGGACUCCUCCAUCUUUACCAGAGGGAUAAAUCCGUGGGUCCUGGCGGGAGUGACGGUGGCCAGUGGCUCUGGUGCCAGUGGGGAUGAGCCUGCCGGUCUCAGCUGAGUAUUUUGCUCCCUGCUCCCGCGGAGGCUCCUCCUUCUGCUGGGAGCAAAGUAGCUAGAGACUCCAGGCAGUGAGAGACAGAGAGAGAGAGAGAGAGAGAGAGGCUCAAGGAAGAAGCCAGAGCAGAAGAGAAGGAGGCCCAGUCACACCUCCAGGGCACCAUCACCUCCUGGAAUCCCAGCGUCACAGCGUUGCAGGGACCUGGGAGGAUGACCGGGCCAGCCCCACCCUGUUCUGGACCCCUCUCCCCAGCCGGGAGCCCAUCAGUUAAAGCCAAAGUUCUUCUUCCUGGAACUUCUUGAAUGCUGGAGCCCCUGGUGGUCCUCUGAAGUCCUCAUACUUCCUCCUGGGUAGACCCUCCCUGCCCAACCCCCCCCCCCCAAGCCUAUCAGAGAUUUGAAAGCAGUAUCCUGGGCCAAGGCCCCCGUCGCCUACCUUAAUUCCUAGCUCAGCUGCCCCCAGGUCUUUCCCCCAGAGCUUGGCAUCCUUUCUUUGCCCUGGGAAAACCCUUCUGAGCCAGGCCUGUGGGUACAAGGCCUGGGACCUCCUACCCCUGCAACCCCAGUUGAGACUGGUAGUAUCUUUCUUCCCAUUUUAAAGGUAGGAAAAGUGAGACCCAGACAGUUUAGCUGAGUUGCAGUGAGCAUUGCAGUGAGUUAGCUGCAAAGCAGGGAUGAGAACUCUGCUGCCCAAGACAAGGGCAGGGGGUGCCUGGGUGACUCAGUCGGUUGCUUUCAGCUCAGGUCAUGAUCUCACGGUUCGUGAGACUGUGCCCCAUGUUGGGCUCUGUGCUGGUGGUAUGGAGCCUGCUUGGGAUUCUCUUCCUCCCUCUCUCUCUGCCCCUUCCCCGCUGUUGUGCUCUCUCUCUCUCAAAACAAAUAAAUAAACAUUAAAAAAAAAAAAAAAAGACAAGGGCAGGACCAGACUCUGUCCCCAAGGGCCAGGCCUGUCCUAAGUCCAAUUCCAACUACCUUCAAGCUGCCUCCCAAUUGCCUUUACUGGCUUGCCAGCAAAUAGCACCCGUGAGGCCACCCCAUCCUGUUUGAAAUCCUUCGGUGGUCCUCCGCUCCUUAGGAGAUCUGACACUACACCAAGUUGAGAAACUAAGAACAAACGCCUCUUCUUGCCCACAUUCAAAGUCGGCCCCUUCCCACCCUCCCCCCGAUGGCUGCCCGCUUCAAUUCCCUGGACCUCAGCCCCGGUCUCUAAAGAUGUCCUGCAUUUCCCAGCUUCUGAGCGUUUGAGCCGCCUGCCCCCACGAGGAAUGCCUCCCCUGUCGGGUUCUGAACAUCCCACCUCUGCUAUGAACCCUUCUUGGACUUCUCCACCUAGCCACGAUGGACCCUCCCCCUUCCACUGGUGCCGCGCAGCCCCUCCUCCCGUGCCAACAGAGCGCCCCUCGUGAGCGCUGUCCCUGCACCCCAUUAGGUGGAAUCCACUCGGGAGGGAUUCCAAGGGACGGCCCCGUCGCACCCCUUCCCAGACAGCUCCUGUGUUCCGCACCCACCUCUUUGCUCUUCAGCUCGUUCUGGGUGAAGACGGCCACCCGAGAAGCCAGGUUCCCCUUUGGGGAAGGGGAAGAAGUUCCUUCUUCCAGGCCUCUGGGACGAGGGGACAAGACGUUGCCAGCUGAUACCCGGGGUCCUCCUCUUUGCCCUCCCUGCGGCACCCGGCACUGGAGGGCUGUGGGGGGUGGGAAGAGCCUGCUCACCUCCCCAGCCUUCUGCCCUGUGUCCUACAGGGAGAGGGGGAGGCGGUGCCCUUGAGGGAAGGAGCGGCAAUGCCCCCAUUGGUAGGUGAGUGCGGUCGCUACCGGAGGGGGCUGAAGUUCAUAUCCCAGCCUGUGGCUUCCCCGGGGAGGUGCUGGAGAUGCUUGGCUACCGGGGCCGAGAUGCCUGUGGUUUAAUCUAGCUUUGCCUCUUUUAGGAGCCGGAGGCUGGCACCGAGGUUGGCUCAGUUGCUAUGCUGUGCCAGUCACUCAGAUACUGGACUGUUCCUGGCGAAGCCUCCCAAGCCUCUCUGCGCUGCAGGGCUGUCCUGGUUCCUCCUCCUUGGGGGCUCUCCCCAUCCCCACCCCCGCCGGCGGGCUUUCCCUUGGCCCUUCCAGAAGGGUCAGACUGGGCAGGGCAGGGCAGGGGCCUCCAGAAAGCUUUUGCUCCAGCCCCGUCUCUGGCUGGAUGGCUCUCACUGACUGGUGCCUGAACAUACAAGCUGCUCAAUAUUUCCAAUAUCAUUCCUGCCUGUAGCUGUCAAUCACGUGACUAUCUGCCCGUCCUCUGUGAUAACGCCUCAAACACCUCAAAUCUGGGUAGGGGCCACAUUUCUGAGGACCCGGGCAGUGGGGAAAAAUGCACAUUCUGCUGUCUGAGGAAAUGUGGAAAACUCUAGGGUGCCCCACGGAACCCCACUGACCUAAGAGCACUGGUCCUUUCCUUCCCGGGAACCUGCCGAAGUACCCACCAUAAGGAAGCCAGGGGUCCCGAUUGGACUGCGGGUCUCCGAUGGGGACAGGGAUGGUGGGCAUCGUCAUCAGACAGCAGGAUAAGAGUGUGGCUUGAGGCAAGGGGGCCAGAGAGAACUUGUCUCUGACGACGCAGACGGGCUUCCCGGUGAAAUCUGUGAAGGGUUAGAGGCUGUGGGAAGGAGGGCCUGGGCCUUAUCUCUGAUUAUCUCUAGAGCAGGGCCACUAACUCUUCCGCUGCUAUCUCCUUGGUCUACACCACCAUCAGGCAGGCCAAGAGAGUCACUCCUGUCACUUCUUUGUCUUCAACCUUCCAGUGGCUCCCACUGACUCAGUGAGAUGGUUUAAUGGUAACUGGGGUGACCUCUAAGGCCCACACAAUCUGGACCCCCCCCCCCACCUCCUUUCUGGUGUAUCUCCCUUCUACCCCUCCUUACUCUGUUCCAGCUGCACUGGCUUCCUUGCUGUUCCUCCAGCAGAACCAGGAUACCUGCCUCAGGGCCUUUGAACUUGCUGUUCCCAGCUGGGACGUUCUUCCCCCAGUAUCCACAUGGUUCACGCCCUCUCUGCUUUAGUUCUUUGCUCAAAUCCCAUGCUAUUAAUCAGGUCUCCUCCCCUCUAGAGCCUUGGCUUACCACACUCUGACACUUAUCUAUUUCCUAUCCUUCCCCGUCAGAGUCAGCUCCAUGACGGCAGGGACUAUCUCAUCCUGCUGUAUCCCCGGGGCCUAAAAAAAGUGCCUGACCCAGAGUUCCCACUGAAUAAGAUACCUGAUGAAUGGAUGGCUAAGUGGAUGAAUUGGCCUGCGUUAGAGAACGGAGUACAGUUCCGGGGCCGAACAUUCAUCCGUUUCUCUGAUUUUUAAAAUGGCAGAAUCGGCAAUGAGGGAAAUCCUGUAAGGGCUACACAGUCUGCCCUUGAAGUCUGCCCCACAAGUCCAGUCUUCCCUUGACCAAGUCCUUGCCAGUGGCCAGGCAGCUCUGUGACCCAAAUCUCCAUCCUCUCUGGGCCUCGGCUCCGAAACAGGGGCUGCGUCCUCCCUUUCCAGUUCUCAAGACUGGCCCACCACCUUCAGCCAGGCCCUGACCUCCCCCAGGCCUACCUUGGAUGUGGGUCACGUGUUGUGGGUGGGGGUGGUGCCGGGAGAAGAAGGAGUGGUGGCUGAGGCGGCCAAAGCGGUAGGCCCCGGGGCUUUGGGGCUUGGGGGUCCUCAGCGCCGCUUGGAUCAGCU